GACGAACGCUGGCGGCGUGCUUAACACAUGCCAGUCGAACGGAAAGGCCCUGCUUUUGUGGGGUGCUCGAGUGGCGAACGGGUGAGUAACACGUGAGUAACCUGCCCUUGACUUUGGGAUAACUUCAGGAAACUGGGGCUAAUACCGGAUAGGAGCUCCUGCUGCACGGUGGGGGUUGGAAAGAUUCGGCGGUUGGGGAUGGACUCGCGGGUUAUCAGCUUGUUGGUGGGGUAGUGGCUUACCAAGGCUUUGACGGGUAGCCGGCCUGAGAGGGUGACCGGCCACAAUGGGACUGAGGUACGGCCCAGACGCCUACGGGAGGCAGCAGUGGGGAAUAUUGCACAAUGGGGGGAAGCCUGAUGCAGCAACGCCGCGUGCGGGAUGACGGCCUUCGGGUUGUAAACCGCUUUCGCCUGUGACGAAGCGUGAGUGACGGUAAUGGGUAAAGAAGCACCGGCUAACUACGUG
rnacentral:rRNA from 1 species